UAUUAACUAUAGACUAGAUACUAUUGACUAAUUACUAAUUACUAGUACAUCACUAACUAUGUGCACCCCACCCUCUUUUGAGGAUUCCUUGCGAAGCAUGCAGGACUAUCUUUUUAUCUAUUUUUAAAAUGGAGUAACAGAAUAAGGUUGAUAGUUACAUGCUAUAUAGCAUGUGGGCUACACACAGUACUUCUUCUGCAGACUAAGAUAGGCUAUUGGUUAUUAUAUUACAUAAUAAUAAAAUAAUGAUACAAUUAAAAAUAUUAAUUAUUAAAAGGAUCGAUGACAAUAUUGUUAUAACAUCAAAGUAUUUUAAAGGGGUUAUUAAGGAUAACUAUCAAAUUUAUAUAAAAGGAGGUUAUCAUGCCAAAUGCUUUCUAAAAAUAUUUAUUAUAUUUUUUAAACUAGGAAAGCGAUCCUAAGGUAAACCUUAACUAUUAAAUACUUCCUGAAGUAAAACAUUUUAUUAAGGAAAGGAAAGGAAAUCAACCGAGACUCCGAAAGUAAUGGUGAGUGAAAUCGGAUUAGCCUAAUUUACUUAUAAAUUAAAAUAAUAAAAAUUUCUAAUUUUUAUUAACAUAAUUAAUUUAAAAAUACUCUCUUUAGCUUUAGCUGCAAAAAAUUAAUUUAGUUCAAAAAUAGGUGAAAAUAUAAGUAAGUCCUGUAAAUUUAUAAGUAAAUUAUAAAAAAAAAAAAAGUACGACGAGAGAUAACUUGUUGGAAUAAAGGGGAACCAUCCUCUAAGGCUAAGUAUUAUAAAUUUAGUGAUAGUGAAAAAGUACUGUAAAGGAAAUGUUUUGAAAGAAAAAUAGGUUGUUAUACCAAAAAUCUUAAAUUUACUCGUGGCUCCUUCCCUCCGCAGGGCUUGCUCCGCAGCAGGGAGGCGCGCGCUACGCACAAAUUUGAGUUUGAAAUAAUAUUGAAUUAGUAACUCUAUAAGCAGUCGAAAUUCUACUUUAAAUAAAGAUUAAUGAAUGACGGCGUACCUUUUGCAUAAUGGGUCAGCAAGUUAAUAGGAGUAGCAAGGUUAAAAGCCCUAGCGAAAGCGACUGGACUAUAUAAAUAUAGUGAUGGAUAAGUUACUUCUAUUAGACCCGAAGCGAGGUGAUCUUACUUGGACCAGAUUAUAAUUGAUCGAACGGGUGAAUGUUGCAUAAUUCUCCGAUGAGUUCAAGUAAGCGGUGAAAUGCCAAUCUGACCUCGUGCUAUCUGGUUUUCUACCGAAACAUAUUUAAGUAUGACAUCUACAUUUAUAGAUUUAUGGAGGUACAGAAAGGCAACUCCCAACAAGAAUUAGGUUUAGUGUGUAGUAAAUUAUUUUUACUGCAUCGUACCUCUUUGGCGUUUAGGAUGCGGGGACGUAGAACUCUUACCUUUGGAGGCGAAUCUCGGAAUUACAUAAAUUGAUAGUAGAUAUUCAGACUAUUCAUGCUAAGUUGAAUAGUCAAGACGGAAACAGCCGAGAACACAGAUCAAGGUCCCAAAUGAUUGUUAAGUGAAAUUAAGGACGUAGCAUAAUCGAGUACAGCUGUUAAGUGAGCCUGGUAGUCGCUACUUAUAAUGAUCGUAUGUAACAACGCAUCAGCAGAAAGACUGUAGCGCCGAAAAUUUAACGGGUCUUAAACAAUCAACCGAUAUCGUGUUGGUAUAGAAUAAAAUAUUAUUUUUAUUUUAUUCUUUAUCUAGGUAGUAGAACAUUCAGUCAAUCUAUUGAAAAAAUAGUGUUUCAUUAUUUAUAGAGGCAACUGAAGAGAGAAUGCUGACAUGAGUAACGUAAAAGAAGAUAUUAACUUCUCGCCGAAAACGAAAGGGUUACAUAAUAGUGUUAAUGCGGCCUCUAAGGACCCUAACCAAAGUUAUGGCUGAUGAGUAAAUAAUAGAAAGUCCUAUCAUAAUUACAAAUUAAUGGACCAGGAAAUUAAUAUUUAAUAAUAAUAUUAUAUUAAUAAAAUUUUAUAAGUUAAAAAACAAUAAAAUAUAUAGUUAUUUUGUUGGGGCUUCUUCUAAAAAAAGCAAGGGUGACUGUUUUAUUAAUUAAUUUUAUUUACUACCGUACCCUAAACCGACACAGGUUCGUAGGUAGAGUAUACUAAGGCGUUUGAGCUAAAAGUUGUUAAGGAACUCGGCAAGAUUACCUCAUAAGUUUGACGAUAAGAGGUACCUCUUAUAUAUUUACUAUAAUUUUUCACUCCUCUUAUUCUUAAUCUUCUUGUAUAGCAAGGCCUAGCCUGUUAUUUAAGGAGUUGAGGAGGCUAAACAUUUAAGCUGAUCUAUAGAUAAUUUAUAUAAGGUGGUGGCACAGAAUCGGAGGCCCCGACUGUUUACUAAAAACACAAUUCAGUGCAAUGAUGAAUAUCAUAGUAUACUGGAUGAAAUUUGCCCAAUGCCAUUAACAUAAGAGCGGUCAUAGUGAAAUGUGGCUAAUUGAAAGUCUGGUUAAUAGCGGUCUUAACCUUGAGGAUCCUAAGGUAGCAAAAUAAGUUGGCCGUUAAAUGCGGUCCGGUAUCAAUAAUGUAACGAUGGUCUCACUGUCUCUACAACUUGCUCAGUGAAAUUGAAUUACCCGUGAAGAUGCGGGUUAUCUUCAGAGGGACGGGAAGACCCUAUGCAGCUUCUACUGUAGUUAGUUAUCAUGUAAAUCUAGAACAGCCUUUUCAGAUAGAAAAUAGGGAUGUCGAUAGACUUCUGGAAACCUUAUAGUUAAGGUUGGGUUUAUGUUUACCUUAUUUGUAUUUUAUACGAACAAAAAGGGAGAGUUGACUAAUUGGCAGUUUGACUGGGGCGGUCGUCUUUAAUAGAGUAGCAAAGUACAUCCAAAUUUUUCCACAACAAUUAAUAUGUAAUAUAUAAUAUAUUAUCUAUUAAAAUUAUCAAAACAAGUCUGCGUAGCGCGUAGCGCGUAGCGCGUAGUAUUUUUUUAUUUAAGACUAAGGAGAUAGUCUAAAAAAAGACUGUCGUUAAGAGCAGGGGAAGGAGCAAGCGCUCCGCACCGCCAGCAGAGAACUUAUUUAAGCAAAGCUAAAAUUUUUAUAUAUUCAAAUUUUUCACAAAUAAUUUCUCCCACUUUUUUUAAAUUUAAUAAAUUUAAUUUAAGAGGGGGAAAUACUUAAUUAAUUUCUAAUUAAGAAAAUAAAGAAACUUAGUAAUCCACCUUUUUCAAAAAGGAAAAUCUUUAAAAUUUUUCUCUCAUAUCUUCUUUAUUCUAUUUUUAUGAAUGGAAGACUAAAUUAUUUUAUAUAUUAAUGUAAAAUAGGGGGGAUGGGGGACUAUGAAAAAUUAAAAAAAAUUAUUGUAAAAUUAUAACACAUUUAUAAAAAAACAAUAACUUUAAAAAAUAAAAUUAAAAUUGAAAAAAAAUUAAAAAACAAUUAACAUAAAAGUUAUUAAAGGUAUGGCUAGACAUUGAAUGGAGGUCAAUCGACCAGUGAAGGGUCGCGCAGAGUUUAAUGGCGGAAAGCAUGCCUAACUGAAAGACCUAUAAGUCGCACAGAUACGUAAGUAGGGCAUAGUGACCCCUCGCUAUAGUAUGGAAUAGACGGGGAUCAAUAAAUAAAAGUUACGCUAGGGAUAACAGGCUGAUCACCGACGAGAGUACACAUUGUCUCGGUGGUUUGGCACCUCGAUGUCGACUCAUCCUAUCCUCCGGGGGAAGAAGCUUGGAAGGGUUCGGCUGUUCGCCGAUUAAAAGGGUACGCGAGUUGGGUUUAAUACGACGUGAGUCAGUAUGGUCCCUAUCUUCUGAAGAGAUAAGUAGUAAAAAGGGGCAGACCUUCUAGUACGAAAGGAUCAAUAGGCUGUGUUUCUCUAGUGUACCAAUUGUUUUUACUUUAUUAUAAUGGACUCAAUUUAAAUAAAAUUGAGGAAGGCUGCUUACUUCUUGCUAAGCAUAAGCAAGCAAAGCAUCUUUUUAUUAUUUAUUAUUUAUUAUUUGUUAGCCCCUAAAGUAUACAAAUAUUUUAGGGUAAGAAGGAAAUUUUAAAUAUAAAAAGGUAAUAAUUUAGGAACGCAUAGUUGGGUAGCCACAAACAUAAUAGAUAAGUGCUGAAUGUAUAUCAAGCAAGAAUCUAACCCCUAGAUACUAAAAAACGGAUCUUUUUACUGAUUAAUUAAAAUAAAAAAAAAAAGAGUAUUAUGAAAUGAAGUAUUAAAUUAAAAAAAAAUUAUCAAAUCGUAAUCGUAAAAAGUCUAAAACCGUAAAUUAAGAAAUAGAACAUUUCUAGUUAGGCUGCAAAUGAGCUUACUGUAAAGUAUUAAGUUUAGCAGUACUAAUUUAUAAAUAAACUUGA
rnacentral:rRNA from 1 species